rnacentral:rRNA from 1 species
UACGUAGGGUGCAAGCGUUAAUCGGAAUUACUGGGCGUAAAGCGUGCGCAGGCGGUUGUGCAAGACAGAUGUGAAAUCCCCGGGCUUAACCUGGGAAUUGCAUUGUGACUGCACGGCUAGAGUGUGUCAGAGGGGGUAGAAUUCCACGUGUAGCAGUGAAAUGCGUAGAUAUGUGGAGGAAUACCGAUGGCGAAAGGCACC